rnacentral:tRNA from 2 species
GCCAGAGUGCUGAAAUUGGCAGACAGGCACGCUUCAGGAGCGUGUGCUCGUAAGAGCGUGGAGGUUCAAAUCCUCUCUCUGGCA